rnacentral:rRNA from 1 species
GCGACAGGACGGAAAGACCCCAUGGAGCUUUACUGUAGCUUGACAUUGGGUCUUGGUACUACAUGUACAGGAUAGGUGGGAGGCUUUGAAACCAGGACGCCAGUUUUGGCGGGGCCAUCCUUGGGAUACCACCCUUGUAGUACUGGGACUCUAACCAUAGGCCAUGAAUCUGGUCUUGGGACACUGUCAGGUGGGCAGUUUGACUGGGGCGGUCGCC